ACUGGUAUAAGCGAAGUACCCAACCUUAACCUUCUCUACUCAAUUUUCAUUCCUUCACGUCUCUCUUUCUUACUGAAACCCUAUCCUCUAUUCACCGAAGUACCAAACUUUCUCAACUUCCGAUUCGAUUCUAUCGAAUCGAAAUCAAUCCCUUUAAACUUUCAAUUCCAGAGGAACUCCUAGUAUGUAUUUCUCUCAGCCAUUUCAAUUUAUCUCUAAAAAUGGAAAAUAGUGAUUUCGGCGAGGCUUAUAAUUGUGUAGAUCCAUAUUGUCUUAAACACAUAUGCUUGAUUCGAUCGUUUCUCUUAAUUACUCUCAAUUUCUUAAAUUUGUUGCCUUCUUUCACAUUGAUUUUCUCUUAAAAACUAGGAUGUGUGCAAUUGUUAAUGGUGCAAACAAAGGAAUUGGGCAUGAGAUUAUUCAAAAAUUGGCCCUUGAAGGUGCGACUCAACAACUAGAGAUGAAAAGAAGAUCAAAGACAAUAUCAUUGCUUGUCAAAUCCGGGUUAUAAAAUUUUUUGCUUUGAUGAUGAUAAUAAUCAGUUGAGUUUGAAUACUAGCUUCCUAUAAAAUCCCUGAGUUUUGGUCAUGCAACUCCUUCUGUUGUAGUUGAUGUAGACAUUGCAUGUUUUGUUGCUGCCAGUUGUAUGCAUAAUUUUACCCUUAUGAAAGUCUUUAUGGAUGACUGUAUUGCAAUAUCACACUUCUUUAUAAUCCUUAAUUUUGAAUAUUCAUUGGACUUUACUUCAGAACGAUUUCCAUGAGGUAUUCUAGGGAAGAUCUUCAGUCUGAAGCAAGUUGAUGGGCUUAAGUUGUCAUUCAAGCUAGAUGGCCGAACUUCCUCUGUGCGUGUUCCAUUCACUCCUCGGUAUCGGUUCAACUUCACUGGUCUUGGUGGCCCCUUUCUCAAAAUGGCGCCAUAUCAAAGCAGUUUACAACAGUAAGGUAUUGCGUGAUGCUGGACCAAGCGGCAUAAUGGUUGUUGAUGUCGUUGUUACUUAGGAAGGUGUUCCAAUUGUCAACCAAUCUAUUGUUGUUACCUGGGAGGUCAAUGGCUUCAGGUAUCUUCUAAGACAAGUAUAUGUCCCGGUGUCUUACCAUCACUGAAUCCUUCUCGUUGGACAGGGUUUAUGCCUUAGUCUUCUCUAAAGAUAAGUUGUAAGUCAAAUGUAUCCACAAGAAAGCAGAGACGAAUCACGAUUUCAACAACUUAAAUUGAAGAUCCGUGACUCCCAGGAUGUUAGGAUCCUGGUACCUCCGUACAUCUGUUGUUAUUUAAGGAGCUUCAGGAAAAGAGCAGUUGCAAGUGUUUAUGUUGAUUCUAGAAAGGGAAAUCCACAAAACAAUGAUGAUUAUGACGAGUUCAGAUGAACAAUGACAAGUUCUAUAGAGAUGAAGUACUUGGAGAUGUUUUAGCAAAUUGAAUUCAGUGUUAGAUUUUGUUUGGAUGUAAUUUUGGGUAGUUAAUGUAGGAUGAAUUUAUCCGUAUUUGUAUAAACGUGAAUUCAUAUUUUAAAUAAAAUUAAGGCAUAUUCAGUUUCAAA